rnacentral:rRNA from 1 species
CCUACGGGAGGCAGCAGUGGGGAAUAUUGCACAAUGGGGGAAACCCUGAUGCAGCAACGCCGCGUGAGUGAUGACGGCCUUCGGGUUGUAAAGCUCUGUCUUCAGGGACGAUAAUGACGGUACCUGAGGAGGAAGCCACGGCUAACUACGUGCCAGCAGCCGCGGUAAUACGUAGGUGGCGAGCGUUGUCCGGAUUUACUGGGCGUAAAGGGAGCGUAGGCGGACUUUUAAGUGAGAUGUGAAAUACUCGGGCUCAACUUGAGUGCUGCAUUUCAAACUGGAAGUCUAGAGUGCAGGAGAGGAGAAUGGAAUUCCUAGUGUAGCGGUGAAAUGCGUAGAGAUUAGGAAGAACACCAGUGGCGAAGGCGAUUCUCUGGACUGUAACUGACGCUGAGGCUCGAAAGCGUGGGGAGCAAACAGGAUUAGAUACCCCAGUAGUC